GUACCCACUUAUCCAGAUAUACACACAUCACCACCCUAGAAAAUCAAGAAAGAGAGCCAAAGAAAAACAGAUUUUGAUCUUUUUCCUUCCAUCCUGACCACUAUAUGAAAAUAGAGGCGGCGAGCGGAUCAUACCAGAUCUGCUCGUGACCGGCCUGUCCGGACAAAUCCAGUCAGUGAACAGUCUGUGCAUGUCAAUCGGGUGUUUUUUGAAGAACAAGUCGCGACUGUCGUGAUUUGCUCGAAGAGAGAGUUGGAGAAGAGAGAUUAGAGGUGGAUCUGCAAAGUCCGUCGGUCGUCAUCUAUGCGUGAAACUAGAAGAGUCGGAGGAAGAUCGUGUGGCGGAGCUCGCUGAAGAAGAAGUUUGCGGCAGCUGAAUCCGGUGAGUGGUAGCCGACAACCAAGUGUGAAGUUAUGGCGGCCGUGCGUGUGGCAUUUUCCGACGAUUGCUCAUUGGCAGCAUGUGGCGGUACAGUGACUGAGCUUCUAGCAACGCAUGAGAGCUCGUGUGGUACUCUAGUGGAGCCCAAGCCAUUUUAGAGCCGAGCUCGAGCUAUUUUAGAGCUGAAUUCGCGUCAUUUUGAGUCAAGCCGAGCUAUUUUAAACCGAGUCGAGCCGUUAGAGCUGAAUCAAUCUGAGCUACUACCUGAUAUAUUUGGUUCUAGUUUGUAAAACUUUUUGGCAUCGUUUAGCAAUGGUAAAGUGGAGGAUAACUCUUCAUAACUUAGUUUACAAUUUGAAUAUGUGUGAUAUCCCUACACUAAUUUAAGCGGUGUUGAGUAA